UGCAAAAGUCCAGAAGAAGGGUAGGUCCAUAUGUUUCGCGGUUAGAACGUUUGGUCACUGAAAAACCAAAAACACAUGAUUCUGAUACAAAAAAUCUCUCACACACGACUACAAAAUUACCUUCUCUUUCCCUAGAUUCAUAUUUGGCUGUGCUUCAGAUUUCUUGGGUAAUUCCUAUCGAAUGUUUUCAAAUUUUCAUUCUCCUUCCUCAGAUUUGUGCUCCUAGCUUGCUAAGUGGGAUGGAGAAAUGUUAUUGAGAGCCGUUGUUAUGCAUGUUGUUGUACUUCUAGCUGGAUCAGGUGAGAGAUUCCAUGCUUCUAGUACUCUUGUGGUUCAGGAUCAAGCUAGAUCAUGACUAUUUAACACACCAUCUUUCUCACCGAAAGCUGCCAUGGAAUAUGCGACUUCAGCUUCCGAAAUGCUGCUAUGAUGAAUAGCCUGUGAAGAAGAAAUCAUAGGUUCACCAGAUGGUCCAAUAAUCUUAGGCUGCUGUAACUGUUGUUGUUGUUGUUGAUACACAAAUACAUUUUCAUUGAUCAGAGAAUCCAGAAACAAAGAGAACGUGUCCUCAUUUUCAUUUCCAAUGUAAUCUUCCUCUUUGUUUUGUUCAUGAUGACUUUGUAACCCCUUAUUAAAACCAUCACAACUAGGCCAGUUUUUGGCACCAUCA